rnacentral:lncRNA from 1 species
AAAAAUCUUAAAAAAAAUUUUUUUUCUUAAUCUUCAGCAAUCGGUGUAAAAAUAUAAAGCAUUGACACUUAAAGUGGAGUUCAAAGGAAAGUCAUCCUGGGAUGGGGUGAGAAUGUUGGAGCCGCUGGACAAGAGGAUGCUACUUGGCACUUUCUCUCAAAGUUAGUUUGUAGAUACUGACUUUUCCCAUGGGGAGGUGGAAUGCAGAUUAUUUCUUUAUUUUUUAAAGUGAGACAUAGGGGUGCCUUGGUGGCUCAGUCAGUUAAGCGCCCAACUCUUGAUUUCGGCUCAGUUCAUGAUCCAAGACAGUGAAGCUGAGCCCUGUAUUGGGCUCCGCACUCAGCAUGGAGUCUAAUUGAGAUUCUCUCCCUCAGCCCUUUCCCCUCCCCCGCAAAUACAUAAAUAAAAUCUUUUUUAAAAAGAUAAAUUGUGAUAUAAUGGACAUGUAACAUUGUAUUAGUCUUGGGUUUACAACAUAAGGAUUUAAUAUAGGUAUAUACUGUAAAAUGAUUGCCACAAGAAAUCUAGCUAACGCUAUCACCACAUGUAGUUAUAUUUUUUUUCCUUGUGAUAAAAACUUUUAAGAUUGCCUCUUUAGGAACGUUUAUUUUUUUUAUUUAAAAAAAUUUUUUUAAAGAUUUUAUUUAUUUAUUCGACAGACAAAGAUCACAAGUAGGCAGAGAGGCAGGCAGAGAGAGGAGGAAGCAGGCUCCCCACGGAGCAGAGAGUCCGAUGCAGGGCUCGAUCCCAGGACCCUGGAUCACGACCCAAGCCAAAAGCAGAGGCUUUAAUCCACUGAAUCUCCCAGAGAUCACAGAGAAGCAGGCAGAGAAGAGAAGAGGAAGCAGGCUCCCUGCUGAGCAGAGAGCCCGAUGCGGGACUCGAUCCCAGGACUCUGGGAUCAUGACCU